GAGAGUUUAACUCAGUAGGUAGAGUAGUUGACUUUUAAUCAACUGGUGACAGGUUCGAGCCCUGUAACUCUUA
rnacentral:tRNA from 1 species